AUAUGGCUGAGAGGUAGCUUAGGAAGCAGAGAUAAGCUGGGAAUGCAGAAUAGAUAUAAAGUUAGUUAAGAGAGGGACCUGCUAGAGGUUCUGGAAGUGUUGGUGGCUGUUUGGUUUAGGUGGUUUCAGUAAUGCUGUUAGGGAGCUCUGCAAGACCAGGGAGGAAGUUUAUGUCCAGGGCUAAUUGUGCCAGAGGGAGCAUUCUUAAAUGUUCUGUGUUUGUGCUCCUUCUUUCUUCCUCAAAAGGAGGAGUGAUGUGGGAGGUGAUUUUAACUGAAGAAAGGGACAUGGCUUAAAUGGCUGAAUGCAGCUUGUCUUCUCCCUGGUAAAAUAGCUUGUGAAAAUGCAACACCUUGAGAUCUUUGAGGUGAAAACUGUAUGCAAAAGCUGCUCAUCCAGCAGACCUUGUGGUCUGGCUUAUGACCUUUGUUGCUUGGUAUGAAGAGUCAUAUUCUUAGAGAGACCUACAGCCAACAAGACUUCUGGUGCUCCUUCCUACAGCAGAUGGUCCAGUUCACAGCCCCAUCAGUCCAGCUCCACAGUGAGAACGUACCAAAACAGUAAAUCGAGAGUGACCAUGAGCCCUGGCUUUAGCUCCCAGUGGAAUAGCAGCCAACCUGCUUGGAAUACAUACACCUUUCCAAGAGCAAGCUUGCACUACCAGUCUCAUGCUAGCUACACCUACUGUGCUGGACAUCCUGCUAUUUGAACUUGGCUUUGGACAUUUGGUUAUAGAACUUCUUAAAGGACGUAGCAUCUUAACCUCCUGCCGUGUGUACAUGGUGAAGUUUUGCUAUCCUACAGUGAAUUCCAGUAGGGAAAUGGGAAAGUGCAGCUUUUGGUACUGAAUGGAAAUUGUGCCAUGCAGUCUUAUUGCAAGAUCCUUGUGAUUUGAUUUCGUUUUUCUGUCUUACCUGCCAACAGACUUCUGUCUGGAAGUUUGCGUUAGAAAUUGUCUCAAACAUUAACAUGGUAAUUGAAAUAAAGGAGAGGAAUAAAUUUGUAAAGCCUUACCUUUUUUUUUUCUUGAGAUGAUGAGUUCUCAGAAUAAAUUAGACAUAUCUAUGGAUUCUUCUGUUUGCUCACUUCCAUUGUGGUGUCAUUGAAAAUGAUAAAAACUGUUGUGAAGAAAUAAAAAGUAUUUGACAUCAGAAGGGCGCAGAUAUUUUUCUUGUUUAGAAUGAUGGCUCAAAAAGAGUCCCAUGACAGCUUAAUUUAUCUUAAACUGUGGAUAUUCAAAUCAUUAACUGCUCCUUAACUUUGAUCAUUUAGAAUAAACACUAUCCCCUCUGUGACUCAAGCUUUAACUCU